rnacentral:rRNA from 1 species
CCUACGGGAGGCAGCAGUGGGGAAUAUUGCGCAAUGGGCGAAAGCCUGACGCAGCAACGCCGCGUGCGGGAUGAAGGCCUUCGGGUUGUAAACCGCUUUCAGCAGGGACGAAACUGACGGUACCUGCAGAAGAAGCCCCGGCUAACUACGUGCCAGCAGCCGCGGUAAUACGUAGGGGGCUAGCGUUAUCCGGAUUCAUUGGGCGUAAAGCGCGCGUAGGCGGGCUGUUAAGUCAGAUGUGAAAACCGGGGGCUCAACCCGCGGCCUGCAUCUGAAACUGGCAGCCUCGAGUCUGGUAGAGGAAAGUGAAAUUCCCAGUGUAGCGGUGAAAUGCGCAGAGAUCGGGAGGAACACCCGUGGCGUAGGCGGCGCCCGG